rnacentral:piRNA from 1 species
UGUUUAUGCCAUGAAAGUUGAAUUUCAACC